rnacentral:rRNA from 1 species
UGGCUGGCGCUCACUUGACAUGCCCAGGCUGCAGGGGGAGGUCUGGACAACCCGUUCACGGAGGAUGAGGUGUGGCGUGCUAUCAAGGCGUCACCGGCAGAUCGAGCGCCAGGCCCGGACGGUUUCUCUGGCACCUUCUUCAGGGCAUGCUGGGCAACUAUCAAAGACGACAUCAUGGCGGCGUUCAAUCAGUUUUACAAUUUAGUAGGCAGCAACUUUGGAGCCCUCAACACUACGGUCGUCGCACUACUGCCAAAGAAAGACGGAGCGACGACAAUCAACGAUUACAGGCCGAUUAGCCUCAUCCACUCCAUAGCAAAGCUCAUCUCCAAAGUACUCUCCCUCGGGCUUGCUAGUGUGAUCCACACGCUCAUCUCACCAGUGCAAUCGGCUUUUCUUAGGACUAAGUGCAUUCACGAUAGUUUCCUAUAUGUUCAAAACUGCAUCAAGGCCCUGCAUCGACGGAGAACACCGGCUCUUCUUCUCAAAUUGGACAUA